GGACCUUGCGCUAUUGGAUGAGCCUAUGUCGGAUUAGUUAGUUGGUGGGGUAAAGGCCGUACCAAGGCAGCGAUCCGUAGCUGGUCUUAGAGGAUGAUCAGCCACAUCGGGACUGAGACACGGCCCGAACUCCUACGGGAGGCAGCAGUGGGGAAUAUUGCACAAUGGGCGCAAGCCUGAUGCAGCUAUGCCGCGUGUGUGAAGAAGGCCUUAGGGUUGUAAAGCACUUUCAGUAGUGAGGAAAAAGUGUUGCGUUAAUAGCGCAAUGCUGUGACGUUAGCUACAGAAGAAGGACCGGCAAACUCCGUG
rnacentral:rRNA from 1 species